rnacentral:misc_RNA from 1 species
AAGUCGUAACAAGGUUUCCGUAGGUGAACCUGCGGAAGGAUCAUUACCAAUUUAAUCCAAACUCUCAACCCAUGUGCACGAUGAUUGUUUGUCCUUGGGGCGAUGUUUAUUCGAGUUUGAGUCAGUCUAGUCUAUUCUUUUGGUGCUUGCUUUAGUUGAUUUUUAUUAACUAUGCAAUUACCCGAGAAGGUUUGGACAAUCAACAAGCGUAUAAAUAGUUGCCCCGCCCUUGUUAAUAAAAUCCUUUAUUUGUAACAUGGCAUUUUGUCUUAAAAUAUUAAAAUAUGACAACUUUUAACGGUGGAUCUCUUGGCUCGU